CGGGGUGUGGCUCAGCUUGGCAGAGCACCUGCUUUGGGAGCAGGGGGUCGCAGGUUCAAAUCCUGUCACCCCGA
rnacentral:tRNA from 1 species